GUAAAUCUAAUUCUUGAUAUCUCAUCUUGGACAGUAAUAUAAGUCUAUCUUUUACUAUUGAUUUGUAGGAGCUAUUUAUUCUGGAUAUAAUUUCUUUGUCACAUAUAUUUUGUGAAUAUAUUCUCCCAAUCAUGACCUACCUGUUCAUAUUUCUACUAGUGUCUUUUGGUAGGCAGAAGUAUUUACUUAAAGUCUAAUUUAUCACCUUUUAAUGGUUAGUGUAUCUGUGUCCUGUCUAAUAAAUCUUAAUCUACUCUAUGGCUGUAAUGAUACUUCAUUAUUUUUUCUUUAAAAACAUUUUAUAGAUUUUACUAACACAUUUGGAUCUAUUAUCCAUCUCUAACUCGUUUUAGUAGGAUGUAAGAUAGAACUCAAGAUUUAUUUUGCUCCAUAUGAAUAUUCAAUUAUUUCAGCACUAUUGUAAAGGCUUUCCUCUUCCCUAUUAAAUUGCAUUGGCAUCUUUAUCUUAAGUUUAUUGACUAUUUAUGCAUGGAUCUAGACUUGUGUCACCAACCAAAGUCCCAGAAUUACUGUAGCUUUAUAGUGAAUCUCGAAAUCAGAUGGUGUAAGUCAUCUAGCUUUAUUCUUCUCCAAAGUUUUCUUGGCUAUUUUAAGGCCUCUGAGUUUUAUAUACAUUUUUUAGCCAUCUUGUCAAUUUCUACAACAUGUGUGAUAAAGUUUUGACUUCAUUGCAUUGAAUCUAGAUCAAUUUUGAGUUAACUGGUAGGUUGUAUAUGCUUCCGACCCUUGAACUCAUCUGUCUCUUACUGAGAGCCAUUAGCUCACAAGGAAAAAACAUGUUUUGUAUCACCCUUCUGUGCCAUAAGUUUACUUGAGAGGUUCCCACAGGAGGGACUCCUCCCAUGGAAAGUUGUCUGCUUGUUGUCUGAAGCAAGCUGAACUACAAUUUUUUCUAAUAAUGCUAGCUUUGUUCAACUUUGGGUUUAUAUUAUGUAUGACAAUAGAAUUGAAAUAAUGUGAAAAACUUGAAUUUGAUAUUUUGAUCAUCCUUAUUCAUAAAAAUAUUUCUUAUAAAAGACAUCAAGAAUGUUGAGGGACUAACAUUUAUUGAGUCAUAAGUCUCACAUUAAUCCACAUUGCAGAUUGUUGGGUAUUAUUCCCAUUAAGCAGAGAGGAAAAAUAACAUUUGAGAGGCUAAGUAACAAGAGUCCUGAAUUAAUAAUGACACUCUGAAAAAGACAUUUCAGCUUCUUAUGUAGUGUUUAUAACCCUGAAAUGGUUUCACAAACAAAAUUUUAUAUAAUGCUCAGAAAAAUGCCAUAAAGAAGUCAGGAAAUUAUCUCCACUUUAGAGAUGGCAGAACUGAGGCUCAGGGGGCUUAAGUGACUUGUUCAUAAUCACCAACCCACCACCAAAAGAUAGCAAUGGGUCUUGUGACUCAUAGUGAGGCAAUCUACUAUGAGAAUAUACUCCUGCUUCACAGCACAGGGCUAUUUCCAGGCACUGUUAUUACUUUUAACAUAAGGUUCCUGAGCACUGCCUUAUUUUCAGAAAGCAACGGAAGCUUAGGAAGAAUAGAGGUGAGUGUUUCUUUCAUAGUUCAAAGGAAAGAAUGAACACAGUGUUGAUCUACUGCAAUUAAAGUAAUGAAUGUUUUAGGAUUGGAUAGACGGAAAUCUGUAACAAGUCAUCUGGUUGUUUUGGUGACUGGAAAACAUACUCUGAGUAAGCAUUUCAUUUCAAUCACCAUAAAGCAACUGGCUCUAUCUUAACUUUCUCUCAAAUUCAUUGUGUGAUAUUUUUUCCCACCACUUAUUCUAUAUGAAUGGACUAAAGUUAAAUAUGGUUCUAAUUAUAAAUCAAAGAUAUCAGCUUGUGAUAAAAUAAUAAAUAGAUUGAUCUAGUAUGAUUGGUUUUCUUGUCAAGUAAUCCUUACUUACAUAGUCUGAACACAUUAAAUAGCCCCAGUCACUCACAAAAUAAUAUCAUUAUUCUGGAUAAAAUGUAAUGAGAUUGUGAAUGAAAACAGUGUUGAUAGUGGUAGAGAGAAGUGCCACAGUCCCUAAUACACACCAGAUGUUCAAAGAAUGAUUGUGGAAUGAAUAAAUGUUCAUAUUUAAUGAACAUUCAUGUAAUUGAAUGGUAGGGCAUUAUGAGAAGUGGGAUGAGGAAAAAGGAUGAAUCAAAGAUGAUUUUCAUGUUUCUAUCUUGGUAAUCACUGAGAUGUGAAAUUCAGGAAUAUGAAAAAGAUUCUAGGAAAGAGCUGAUAAGUUUACUUUUUAAAUUAAUCUAUUUGAAAGGUACCUGCAUACACAGAUGUUGCAGAUAAAUGAAAGAUGAAUGGAGCUGGAGCGUAAGAAAGCUCUCUGGGCUGUAUAUUUAUGCUCUAAUAUCAUCUGUUUACAUACAAAUGGUAAAAGCCAAAGGGAUGAAUAAAAGUCAUUUAUUCAUUCAUAAAAUAUGUAUUAAGACCUAGGCCAAUUUCUGGAAUAAGAGAACCAGAUGUCAAAAUUCUUCGGGAAAAUCAAUGUUUAAUAGAUAAAAGUAGAAGGAAUUAAGUUUUAAGCAUUGAUAAACUUAGUCAUUCUAAGUCAGAAUUUCUACUGUUGAGAGAUUUGGGCAUCGAAUAUGGACUCAAGGUGUCUUUUUAAUACCUUCAUACCUGGGCUCUUAUAAACUUACAAAGUGUUUUUCAUAUUUUUAUCCUAUUAUCCAGUUACCCGGAACUAUGUAAGUUAGGAUUUAGAUUUCUUUAAAACAACACUGCCAGUUACCUGCCCUACAUCUGUUCAUACUCUCUCUUGGCAGAAGCCUGACUUCGUUGAGGCUGGCAACAUUCCUCACUAACUCAGCCUCAGCCCCCAAGGGUGACUUCUCAUGAAUCUAUGAACGUGGUAGUGUCUGGAGACAUUUUUGUGAUUGUUAAACUGAAUAGAGGAGGUGCAACUGGGAUCUAGUGGGUAGAGGCCAGGGAUGCUUCUAAACAUCCUGUAAGGCACAAAAUAGCCCACAGUAACAAAGAAUUAUUCAACCCAAAAUGUCAAUAUGCAAAUACUCCAUAUGUUCCUGUAGAAAAGCAUGAACAAACCUAUAAUUUAAAUCCGAAGGAAUCUCUGGCGUCUAAAACUUCACAGGUGGAAUGCAAAGUAAGGGCAGGAGACUAAGCCAACUCCAAGAUGGCCGCCAAUGAUCCCCACUUCCUGGUGUUCAUGUCUUUGUCUAAUUCCUUUUCUGUGUGGGCCUGAUCUAUUGACUCGCUUCUAAUGAAUAGAAUAUGUUUAAAAUGAUGUGAUGUCACUUUUGAGAUUAAGUUACAGAAGACUCCAUGUUGGGAGUUGUGCCUCACCCUCUUAGAUCAUUUUUCCCUGGGGAAAGCCAGCUGUCAUGAUGUGAGGUAGCUGUGUGGAGAGAACCACAUGGGAAGGAGCUGAGGCCUUCCAACAACCAUGUGAGUAAACUUAGAAGCAGAUGUCUCUCUAGUCAGGUCUUCAGAUGAGAUCACAGCUUUGGUUUACAACUUGACUGCAACCUCUUGAGAGAUGCUGAGCCAGAGGUGCCCAGCAAAGCCACACCCAGAUUUCUGAUCCAUAGAACUGUAAGAUGAUACAGCAUUGUUCUUUGAAGCCUCUGUGUAUUGGGGUAAUUUGUUAUGAAACAGCAGAUGACUUAUAAUGACAGGGACAUCUAUAAAUCUUGGCACUUGCCAACUAAAUUGACUGUUACAGGUCUGUCGCAGCUACCAUUAUUACUAAUUCUGUGGCUGGGAUUGUACAUUCAUUAGAAAAUCCCAAGGUUAUGCUUCAUUAGACCCAUACCUCAUCCUGUACCGACUCCACGUGCUAUAAAUAUUAUCUUAGAUAUUAAUCAAAUGCAAAGUGUGAUAGAAAGAAAGUGGCCAUUAGAUUUAGACAGAUCUCAAUUCAAAUCCCAAACUCUCUGCUUACUACCAUGGUCAAAUUGAAUAAUCCCUUUGCAUGUGUGUUUUAUCAUUAGCAAAGUGCUGAUUAGUGCUGGAACAAGAAAAGUACAAGAUGCAAUUGGACCAUGAACAAGAAGCUACUAACUUCUUUAGAGAAAGCAUUCUCACAGGCCUUCGAUGAAUUGGACGAUGUCCACCCACAUGGUGAGGGCAGAUCUUUCUUACUCCACCCACCGAUGCAGAUGUCAAUCUCUUCUGGAAGCACUUUCAAGGGCAUACCCAGAGCUAAAGCUUGACCAGCAUUAGUUGGUAAAUAUGUGAUUAGGAACUCUUUAUGAACCAGAAAAGAGAAAUCUUGCACUGAUUGGAAUAUGGCAGCCACUCACCAUCUCCCCUGUCUGCUCUCACUCAGUUUAUGUGACCCAAUGGGAAUGGAGAAUCUCAGGCAUAAAACCAACUGCUUCGUGGGUUACUCUGGAAAAUUCUAAACUGAAGCUUUUUGAGAAAGGCGACAUUACCUCAGAACUUCCACAUGUAGCUACUGUGGAGUUUCUGUUUAUGUGAAUGGAUAUUUUCACCAGAUAUUGGAAACAUGCUGAAGCUGGAUUCCAGUGCAAUAAAGGCAACUCAUUUAGCCAUUGGCCUGUGAUACUAUGAGAAAUACAGUUAAAUUAGACGAAUGCUCCACCAGGAAUUGUGGCCAAAAUAAAUGAUCAUUUUUUAAAAAAGAAAAAGAUAAAGACACAACAGAUUGUCAUUUUUUUCUUCUUGUCGAUGUCCUUGAAAAACAGACUUGAAGUCUCAAAUGAACACCUUAAAUUCCAAAUAACCAUUGAGGCAUUGGGGAAGACUUGUCUCCUUGUUGAUUCUAUGGAUGGAUAGAUGGAUGAUGAGUACUACAAAUAUUUUUAUCUCCUAUGUAUAAAUUAAAGGAAUAGUAACUGAGAAGGGCUUCAGAAAGCUUAUUGGAGGAUAGGCAUUCAGAGAAAAAACUGAAGGAUGAGUAAUUACAGGUGAAGUUGGAGGAGAGGCUAUUUUUGAUUGAAAGAAAAGUAAAGAGAAAGGCAUAGACAGAACUAAAGGAAAUGCAAUUUUACCUCUCAUACGAAGAGCAAUGAUUGUCCCCUCACUUUCAUAUUUCAAUAGAAGAAAAAUCUUUUUCCAAAUAAAAAUCAGAAAACUAAAAAAAUUAUUGAAAUAUUUCUAAUAAAUAACAUUUUCCUAUUUAUUACUUUAUUGCUAUAUUUUCUUAUAAAAUAUAUUUAAAUUAGAUACACAUAAAUAAUAUAUAAUCUAUCUUUAAAUUAGCAAAAUUUUAUACAAUACAAAUCACAAUUUUUAUAUUAUAUAUUCUUACCAUUCUUGUUCAUUUCUUGUCCAUAUAAAUUCACAUUAAUAUAAUUAUUAUUAUAGUGCAGAUACUACUUAAUAUUCCUUUUAACAUUAUUUGGUAAAAAAAAAGUUUUAGCAUUAUAUUUUUAAUUAUUAUAUAUAAUUAUUCAUAGCAUUCCAUUGAAUAGAUAAACUAUUAUUUAGUUUAACCAUUCUAAUGUUUCAAUAUUUUUGCUAUUAUACAUAAUGCUGCAAAGAAUAUCUUACUAGUGUGGCCAUUUUACUGCAAUGUUUUUUACCUUAGAUUUUAUUCUGUGAAUAACAUUACUAAAUGAAAGGAAUUUAUCUUUCUUAUGGUUUUUAAUAUGUAUUGCCAAUUGCAAUCACAAAACAAUCACUAGUUGCACACCAAUCAGCGGCAUAUUAGUGUAUUAAUUUCACCAAGUCCUGCCUUCAUUGGGUGCUACCAUGUUUUGGACUUUUUAACUGUUGAAUAAUUUAUCAGGUAUAUAAAUAAUCCAAAGAAUUUAAACUUUAAUGAACUGUUCCUCUACUGCUAAUCUAGCCCACAUAGGGAUUGUGAAGAUAGCUCAUUUAAUAAAUACUUCUUGACCACUGUCUUUGUUCUCAUUCCAUGCAGCAAAAGUAGCAGAGAAAAAGAAGCACAAGAGGAGAGAGGUGAUGAGGAUUCUGAACACAGAAGGCCUUCUAGGCCCUGUGUAUUAGGAUUUUGCCUUUAAUUAUGAGUGCCAUGGGGAGCCACUGUAAGGGAAACAAUUUCAUGUGAUCCUUGUCCUUUGGGAGCUUUUAAAAUCUUAAUGACGAGAUUAGAAUCAGAUGUUGUUCCCCAUCUCCCCAAAAUCCUGCCUCAACUCCAUCCUCAUCAUUGUGCAGAGAUCAGAAUACCAUGACCAGUCAUUGGAAAUACUGUUCCUCUCUCAGUAAGAAUGGAAGAAGGGAGGGCAUGGAGGGCCUCCUGUAUCUGGAGCAUUGUUAGGUGCUACAUAUCCAAUCUAAUUUUGUCCAACAACAGUCCUGUAAGGCAGGUCCCAUUUCUACAGAGGAAGAAACUGAGGCUCAAGGUGCUCACUUUGGGAAGACCUUCUGUUUGUCUUCCUUACAAAGAGAGAAAACAUUAGAUGCCUGAGUGCGCUCAAGGAGCUUUGACAGAAUCUGAAUCAUUUUUACUCUGUCUUUCAUGUUUAAAUUUCCAACAUACCUUUGUCGUUUUCAUCCACUGGAAACUGAGGCAUCCCAUGAUUCACAAAAUUGGCCCAUUGUUUAAACUGUCACCCUUCUUUCCUUAAUUCCACUCAUGAGCAUUUGGACCCAACCAAAGGAGGUUGGUUGGAUCCCACAACAGCAAGUCCACUGAACCGGGAAUAUGCAAUGGAAAUUGAAAUCUAUAAUGUGUUCUAUGAUUUUGAACAUGUCUACUCUCUCCCUGCAUCUCAAUCCCUCAAAUGUGCAGUGGGGGGAUGGAGAGAUAAGGCAGAGGAUCUCUGGGGAUCAUUCUUGCUUUAAUGAUCUAUGACAAAAUUUUCCCAGUGUACUGCACAGCCAGAAAGAGCCAAGGCUGAGAGCUAUUUCUCCCCAGAAAUGUGAUUCCACAGUCUUGGUUUCCUGGAACAACUGAAGAGUGUGGUAAUAGAAUCCAUGAAGAGAAACUUUAUGUGGCUAAUAUUCCAAAGCUUUCUAAGUGCAGUAAUAAACAGAGCACAUCUUGGUGACACAGAAAUUAUGAGGCAGAGACCAUAAUAAUAAUUCAUGUCUGCUUCUAUUCACUAUUGACAAGAUGUGCUUCCACUCCCAAGACACCAGAGCAGCAGAAAAAUAAGUAAUUCCCUGAGUUGCCACCACACUAUUUUGCUUUAUGCUAGUUUUUCUUCCUUUCUUUUCUGUCACCCACAAAAGUGAAACCCAGUCAUCUACAGAAGCUGCCUUUUGUCUAGGAGUAAGUGGUGGUUAUUAUCUGCAUCAUAUGAAGCUAGGCAUCAUGGUUUCCAUGCUGGAAAGCAAAGCUCCCCUAUGUUAGGCAUCUUUGGUUUACAAUAACAUACACUCAAUAACUGAGAAGAAAUUUUGAAUAGAUCACACUUGCAAAAUAUUUCCCAGACUGAAAAUUUCACGGAGACUGGUGAUCACGUAGGCCAAGUGUACUUUAUUUCCCCCGUCUCUCCAUUCCUCAGCCCCUGAAAUAAUUCCUAGGAGAUUUUUAGCUAACUCCGGCUGAGUCCACCAACAGAUGUGAAACUUAUUACCUUACUGUUUUGUGGCCCUUCCUAUUCUAUUUUCUUGCAACAGCUCCAAUUAUUAAAGUGAAAUACGACAUCUUAGCCCUUUUGGAGCAAGGCAGGAAGCAUUUAUUCUUUGAUUGUGUAACUGUUCUUCAAGAAUGUGUAAUGAGCCUCACACCUCUUCUAAGUCUUCUUUUUUCCAUGUUAAACAUUCACAAUUUCUUCCCCAUUCCUGGUUGGUAUAGGUCUCAGAUCUUGCUCUCAUAUUGUUUAGGCUUCCAAAGUGGUGCCACUUGACCAACACAAACUUGGAAAUAAGACAUCCUAAGCUUGAAACAACACAUCCAAUGUGGUCUAUCUUAGAGAAAAUGAUUGAAAUUGUCACCUGCCUUAAUCGGUACAUUUCAACUCUAUUACAAUAAUUUUGCCUAAGAAUGUUUUGAUUUUUCCAGCAACUGUGGCACACACUUGGUUUAUGUUUAGUCCUGUGAUCAACAUAUGAGCUUUGCUCUUCCUCCAAGGCACAAGCAGGAAUGUAGUGAGUAGCAAAGUGCUCUUGGUCACUCAAAUGUAUUGACAAAACAGGACCUCUUUAUGAAAUUAUAAAGUCAUCCCAGAUUGUAUUUUGGACAUUUCUUUUAUUUCUCAUGUUCUCAUACUUUCUGUAGUCUCCUCUGCCCCCAACAUACAUGCCUGACUUCUACUCAAAAGUAGUUCUACUCUGCUGUAGUAGUUCAGAGCCUGGCUUGUAAAGGCAGCCUGCUCAGGGUCAUAUUCCAGCUCUGACAUUUGCCUGCCCUGUAGGUUUCAGAAACUCAAUGUCUUUUGCUUGUUUAAGAUUUUUUACGUUAUGUAUAAAGUAAUAAUACUAUCUCCCUCAUUAUGUUGUUAUGAGAAUUUAAUGAUUUCAUAUAUCUUAGGCACUUAGGACAGUGCCUGGCACAUACUGAGUGCUAGCUGAUACAAUAAGCCUAGCAUGGUAUUUGGGACAAUCAGGUCUGAGGCUCGGGGUACCAGGGAUAUAGUCAUUACCCAGGUCCAGUAAUAUAUGUCACUUCUUUUUUUUCAGACCUUCAAUUUCUUUAGCUAUAAAAUAGGGAAAUCAAACAGUAAGAAAUAACAACAAUUCUUUCCAGCUCUGUCAUUUUUAAAACUGUAAUUGUCUGCAAGUCUUUGAUCUUCCAGCUCCUGACAUGGGUGGAGCAAGCAUCCCCAGCUUGGAUAAUAGGGGGAACAAGCUGAUGAUAUGACUCUUUUUGUAGACAUUGCUACUAGUGUUCAAACAAAUAAAGAUGUAAAGGCAAAAUGUUUCAUAAUUCUGGCAGGCAAAUUUGGAAAGACUUCUGAGGUCAGCGCCGCCUUAUCAGAGCCCCUUACAUCACACUACAUAGAGAGGCUGCCCACUCCCCAAAUUGCUACAAUUGGUAAUGUGGUAGAAGUAUUAAGAAAAGCCUGGGCAGUCAGAGAUGAGAGAUCAUGUCAUUUUGAGGGCUGAUAUAAAGAAAGGAAUCCAUUUUUCAUGGAAAUGCUUGGCUUUGCAUGAGCCUUUGAAAACCCACACAGUAAAUGCAGUGGAAAAGGCAAUGCACCACAGCAUAAGGCCAGAGGUCUGGGGAUACCUCAACUACAAAACCAACACAGCACUUAAUUGUAGCCAUAUGUCUGAAUCAGCCAGAAAUGCAACUUCUUCAUCAGUCCAAUGGGAUACUAAUGCUCUCGCUUGACUUUCUCACAGAACUGCAAGAGAUCAUGAACGUAAAGGCAUUUUGAAAGUUCAUUUCAACUGCAAUAUGGUAGUGACAGUAAGGUUCCUGACCUUCCAAGGCCAGAAUCUGUGUCCUGUAACCUCCACCACAAUUUAGUUCCUGAAACUACACACAAAAACACAGCCACUCUAGAAGAUGAAAGUGCAAAAUUACUUUCUUCCCCUACUCAAUGCCAUUAAAUGGCUUCCUUGACAUCUACAGCUCUUUGCAGUAAUGUUCACUAUGACUAAAUGUGUGGCUAAUAAUACCUUUUAUGAUCUGACCAUUUUAUCGCCUUAGCCUCAUUUUUCUCAUGCUUUGCUUUUAAGAUUUCAUGUCUUUGCUAUUGUGAAUAGUGCUGCAACAAACCUGCACAUGUACCCUUGAACUUAAAAUAAAAGUUAAAAAAAAAAUGUUCCUGAAGGAAAAAAAAAAAGUCUAAGAUUUUGUAGACUGAUCUUCCAGUUUCUUGAACAUACACAUUUCCUCUCACUUUAUGCUGCCACUUCUGCCUGGCUAGCUCCUACUCAUCUUCAGGUCUCAGCCUUUUACCUUUUAUUUGUUAUGUUAUUUUAUUUUUUUGAGACUGAGUCUUGCUCUUGUCACCCAGGCUGGAGUGCAGUGGCGCAAUCUCAGCUCACUGCAACCUCAACCUCCAGAGUUCAAGUGAUUCUCCUGCCUCAGCCUCCCAAAUAGCUAGAAUUACAAGUGCC
rnacentral:lncRNA from 1 species